rnacentral:rRNA from 1 species
GAUGAACGCUGGCGGCGUGCCUAAUACAUGCAAGUCGAGCGAACAGAUGAGGAGCUUGCUCCUCUGACGUUAGCGGCGGACGGGUGAGUAACACGUGGAUAACCUACCUAUCAGACUGGGAUAACUUCGGGAAACCGGAGCUACUACCGGAUAAUAUAUUGAACCGCAUGGUUCAAUAGUGAAAGACGGUUUUGCUGUCACUUAUAGAUGGAUCCGCGCCGCAUUAGCUAGUUGGUAAGGUAACGGCUUACCAAGGCGACGAUGCGUAGCCGACCUGAGCGGGUCGUCGGCCACACUGGAACUGAGACACGGUCCAGACUCCUACAGGAAGCAGCAGUAGGGAAUCUUCCGCAAUGGACGAAAGCCUGACGGAGCAACGCCGCGUGAGGGAUGAAGGUCUUCGGAUCGUUAAACGCUGUUAUUAGGGGAGAACAAAUGUGUAAGUAACUAUGCACGUCUUGACGGUACCUAAUCAGAAAGCCACGGCUAACUACGUG